AUACUUACCUGUCAGGGUAGAUACCAUGAUCACGAAGGUGGUUUUCCCAGGGCGAGGCUUACCCAUUGCACUCCGGAUGUGCUGACCCCUGCGAUUUCCCCAAAUGUGGGAAACUCAAUGUGUAAUUUGUGCUGGUAGGGGACUGCGUUCACGCUCUCCCCUG
rnacentral:snRNA from 1 species